CAGCCGCCACGGUAAUACGGAGGGUGCAAGCGUUAAUCGGAAUUACUGGGCGUAAAGCGCACGCAGGCGGUCUGACAAGUCAGAUGUGAAAUCCCCGGGCUUAACCUGGGAACUGCAUUUGAAACUGUCAGGCUGGAGUCUUGUAGAGGGGGGUAGAAUUCCAGGUGUAGCGGUGAAAUGCGUAGAGAUCUGGAGGAAUACCGGUGGCGAAGGCGGCCCCCUGGACAAAGACUGACGCUCAGGUGCGAAAGCGUGGGGAGCAAACAGGAUUAGAGACCCGGGUAGUCCCUGUCUCUUAUAC
rnacentral:rRNA from 1 species